UCACCGUCUUGCUCGGAUUCGCUUGGUGCAGGUCGGGAACCAAUUGUCUGACACAUCCACGAAGUUUUACUUGCUGGUUUGUGAGCAGGGAUUGGAUCCCGCCUUGCAUCAAAUGAAUCGGAGUCCUGAUGGUGAAA
rfam:Brassica napus, WGS project CCCW01000000 data, contig: 1604